GAUGAACGCUAGCGGCAGGCCUAAUACAUGCAAGACGAACGGUAAGUUGAGUAGCAAUACUUAGCCAAGAGUGUCGUACGGGUGCGUAACACGUAUGCAACCUACCCUAUACAGGAGGAUAGCCUAGGGAAACCUGGAUUAACCCUUCAUAGUAUUAUUGGAUGGCAUCAUUUGAUAAUUAAAACUGAGGUGGUAUAGGAUGGGCAUGCGUCUGAUUAGUUAGUUGGCGGGGUAAUGGCCCACCAAGACGAUGAUCAGUAGGGGUUCUGAGAGGAAGAUCCCCCACACUGGCACUGAGAUACGGGCCAGACUCCUACGGGAGGCAGCAGUAGGGAAUAUUGGUCAAUGGAUGCAAGUCUGAACCAGCCAUGCCGCGUGCAGGAAGAAGGCCCUUUCUGGGGUUGUAAACUGCUUUUGCCAGGGGGAUAAAAGUUUCCAUGCGUGGAAAACUGAAGGUACCUGGUGAAUAAGCCA
rnacentral:rRNA from 1 species